UUCAUACUUGGACUACACCGCCCC
rnacentral:piRNA from 1 species